GACGAACGCUGGCGGCGUGCCUAAUACAUGCAAGUCGAACGCUGAAGAGAGGAGCUUGCUCUUCUUGGAUGAGUUGCGAACGGGUGAGUAACGCGUAGGUAACCUGCCUUGUAGCGGGGGAUAACUAUUGGAAACGAUAGCUAAUACCGCAUAACAAUGGAUGACACAUGUCAUUUAUUUGAAAGGGGCAAUUGCUCCACUACAAGAUGGACCUGCGUUGUAUUAGCUAGUAGGUGAGGUAAUGGCUCACCUAGGCGACGAUACAUAGCCGACCUGAGAGGGUGAUCGGCCACACUGGGACUGGGACACGGCCCAGACUCCUACGGGAGGCAGCAGUAGGGAAUCUUCGGCAAUGGGGGCAACCCUGACCGAGCAACGCCGCGUGAGUGAAGAAGGUUGUCGGAUCGUAAAGCUCGGUUGUAAGUCAAGAACGGGUGUGAGAGUGGAAAGUUCACACUGUGACGGUAGCUUACCAGAAAGGGACGGCUAACUACGUG
rnacentral:rRNA from 1 species